GGGUUGACAUUUGUGGGCAGCAGAGUAUACAGUAGAAGGAACAACAAACAAAAACAAACAAAAAAGCAUACAUUAUUGCAGCGACUAUUAUAAGAUGAAAAUCUGACUUGGUAGCAGCUUAAGAACUACAACAUACGUAUCUCAGAAUAUCUCUUCCGCUGUAGACUGGUUCCUCCAAAUGCUGAUCAUUGAGCCCAUACUCUGGCUCCAAAACACGUGACCAGUAUAAUAUUUUGGGCCCCAUGAUAGCAUUGUUUUAGCUUCAUUAUUUUACAAUAGGAAAAGGUGUAGGUGCGCCAUUUACGAAAAGGUUCACUUGAAUUUUUAGUGGAAUUUAAAAAGUCUGUAUCAGUCCCUUUUUAGCGAUCAUAUCUUUUUAUAAAAGAAUUUUCCACUGUCAUGACAGAAAUGCAAUGGGAUUGAGUGGGGAAAAAAAGUAAUGAAAACUCAAGCAAAGCAGAGCUGCACAGACAAGAAACAGCAACAAGUAUUAAACCAAUUAGUUGCUGGUUAAACAUGACCUAGUUUACAAACUGAGUGGCAUUUUAGAUGUUUAAUAGGCAAAAGAGGGACAAAUACUUUUAUUUACCAAUAUAUGAGAAACAAUGUCAAAGGAAAGGUGUCAGAAGACGAUAAAAUCACACGCAUUCACAAACUGCACUGUGCAUUAAGUCCUUACACGUAUGCACACUCAUGUGUGACACUGGCCACACAUGCACACACAGAGUGGUGCCUCUUCGGGCAAACACACAUAAUUGUUCAAGCCCCUCGCUCUUACCACUUACUCUUCUCUUGUUUGAAAGUCACUGAAUAAUCUUGACCUCCUCAGUUCACGAAAGACGCACGAGAGCCAGUCUUAUGAUGUCAUCAGGGUCGGAGGGCAGGACUGUGAUGCCUACACAACUAGACUGUCUGUGGUACUCGAACAAACCCUGACUUUAUCCAUCCUGACCUACUGGUCUAGUUAUGUGACUGUAGAGAAACAAAGAAGUUGAAGCCACAAACAUGGACAGGAUGACUUUUCUGACUCAUGAAAGUUUCAACAGUUUACAAACAAUAACCUGACGUCUGCUUUUUUACAAAAGUUUACAACUAAGAACCAUUGACUUCCUUUACAUGACAGGUUUUUUUAACAUUUGAGCGCAAUACUGUCUCAUUUAAAAGCAAAAAAAAAAAAGUGAUGUGAAGAAUAAAGACAAAAUUACAAUAGUUCAGAAUCAAUUUAGUGUUUAAGUCUGUGGAUGGUGUUUAGUAGCCUUUUUUUUUUUUACGACUGCUGAUACCCCUUAUUUUUUUUACAUUUAACCCUAAUAAUAUUGUGUGUGAUUUUAUACAAUCUGUAUGGACAGCGGGAAUCGCAAGAACUCACAAGAACCCACAGAUUCAUGUACAAUCACGCGAUAACAAGUUGUCUCUAUAAAUACGGUCACAUAACCAUAUAAGCAGUAGAUUGUGUCAUUCAAGAGGACGAAAUGCACUUAUAGACUUCUAGAAUCAGCAUUUCCAUGGUGCAUUGGGGUAAAAUGCUGUCUAAAAACCUUUCAGUUGUUUGUCCCCGCCUGUUUGAUGUGAAAUACGAUCCGCAGAUGGAGUUUUUUAUUUUGAGAAGAAGCCGGAUGUUUUAUUUUGUGUCUGUGCCCAACUUCCUUUCCAGCACGGGUUGAUCUGUGCUAAAUUUAUCCGGCAUGCUCCGGCGUUCGAAAAAAAUAAAACUCUUGCGAUCAGCUGCGGAGUCCGGCGAUCUGCAGCAGAACGGAAAGAAGCCGAUGGAACUUGACGCAUUAACUUGAAUGGUUAUGAUCAGCUGCAAUUGGCGGAUACAGCCUUUUCGUAGCCGUUUCAGAUGCGGUGGAAAUUGGGGGUAAGACUCGAUGUACAGUAGAAAAUUACAAGCUGCUUUUCACGUGUCCUUAUCGCUUUGACUGUUUCUAUGGUGCUUAUUCUGCAGGACAAUUUACCCCAAAUGCUGCAACCGCGAUGACUUUUUCUUGGAAAGUGAGGUAUGACAGAAGUCCAGCAAUCUAUUAUUUAUCAGGCAAUGUAAAAAAAAGUUCCGAACACCAAGUUGGCCUUGUUGUGAUACUUUCUUGAAAGUCUUGACCAUUAAGGGUGUAGGGAACUUGAGAGAGUAAAUAGUGGAAGAGAGACAAAAAUAAUGUGACAAAAACAGCAAAGAGGAAGAGAGAAAGCCAGAGCACUCUUACACUAACCAGGUCUGAUAGCGUGUUAGCCAUCAAGUUCCUGAUUAAUGUGGCUAAAAAUUUGGCCCAGUGACUGGACAAGUUUCUUUGUUUUCUAAACAUAACACAACACUGUGGUUUUACUGAAAAAAAUGAGAGGACACAAGAAGAGGUCAAAAUAAAAUUAAAGUUAGAAAUUGGGAGAAAAUUAAACCACAUGUUACACUAAACUUAAAAUAAGGUGUAGAGGAAUCCAACUGUGAUAGUGAAACAUGUUAUAGUAGUGAUACAGGAGGAGGAGGAGGAGGGUGUGUCUCUCCUCACACAAAGUGCCUUUGUCCCUCUGGCCCUGCACACGUCAACAAUGGGUUUGAGUGACAGACGGCUCCCAAAAAAACCUCAGGGUCCGCAAUGGCGCCUUUGUCUCCUCAACUCGCAUUGUGGUGGACAAAGAGUGCACUGCAACUGGCAGCGUGGGGGGAGGCUACACGAAGAGUGUAGGUUUACAUGCUGACACUUAACACUGAAAGCAUAAAUUUUAAUGAAGACGGUGCAUCUUAAUGAGUGAAUCUGAAUAUAUUUCAAUCACAGAGUCAAUGUAACUGUUAGUUUUGUUUUACCUGCAUGCAGACAGUUUAUCGGUGACUUGAUGAGACUUGAUUUCUACAGAGCAGCUUUGUGAAGCCUCAGUCAUGCAGGAUUACUCACACAGGUGUUUUCACUUUUCAGCCUGAUUAAACCAGAACUGAGUGGGCGUGUCCUGAUCUGACUGAUAUCUCAGGGCCUCUGGUUAGUUUUGUUGCACCUGUUUGGGCGGGGCGAUUUACAUCCCUGUGAUUCUGAUGAGCAAAAAUGACUAAAAGCUCUGCUGGUUAUUUCGUCGGGUGGAGUACCAGUAUUUUGAGCAAAGAGACGAGGUAUUUCUGGUGCACAGGGUUUAAGUCUAAAAAGGAGUCAAACCAGACAAACACUAAUACUAAUCAUAUACAGUAUGUACCGAUUCGAGCAAUCCGAGAAUCAAACUGUUCCUUGAAAAGCUGCUAAAUGAAAAUUCAUUGUUGUACCUUUGCU